rnacentral:rRNA from 1 species
UACGUAGGGGGCGAGCGUUGUCCGGAAUUACUGGGCGUAAAGAGCGCGUAGGCGGCUCGAUAAGUUCUGUGUGAAAGCCCCCGGCUCAACUGGGGAGGGUCGCGGAAAACUGUCGGGCUGGAGUGUCGGAGAGGGAAGUGGAAGUCCCGGAGUAGGGGUGAAAUCCGUAGAGACCCGGAGGAACACCAGUGGCGAAGGCGGCGUCCUGGCCUGCGACUGACGCUGUGGCGCGAAAGCUAGGGGAGCGAACGGG